rnacentral:rRNA from 1 species
CGGUGUUUAACUGGCGUGAUGUGGGACGUCCUACCGGUGGGCUUAGCCUCGCGAGGGGCGGCCCAACUAAUAUCCCGUCGCGGUGCUCUUUACUGAGUGUCGAGUCGGGCCGGUACGUUUACUUUGAACAAAUUAGAGUGCUUAAAGCAGGCUAUCCUCGCCUGAAUACUGCGUGCAUGGAAUAAUGGAAUAGGACCUCGGUUCUAUUUUGUUGGUUUUCGGAACCCCGAGGUAAUGAUUAAUAGGGACAGAUGGGGGCAUUCGUAUUGCGACGUUAGAGGUGAAAUUCUUGGAUCGUCGCAAGACGGACAGAAGCGAAAGCAUUUGCCAAAAAUGUUUUCAUUAAUCAAGAACGAAAGUUAGAGGUUCGAAGGCGAUCAGAUACCGCCCUAGUUCUAACCAUAAACGAUGCCAGCUAGCGAUCCGCCGAAGUUCCUCCGAUGACUCGGCGGGCAGCUUCCGGGAAACCAAAGCUUUUGGGUUCCGGGGGAAGUAUGGUUGCAAAGCUGAAACUUAAAGGAAUUGACGGAAGGGCACCACCAGGAGUGGAGCCUGCGGCUUAAUUUGACUCAACACGGGAAACCUCACCAGGCCCAGACACCGGAAGGAUUGACAGAUUGAUAGCUCUUUCUUGAUUCGGUGGGUGGUGGUGCAUGGCCGUUCUUAGUUGGUGGAGCGAUUUGUCUGGUUAAUUCCGAUAACGAACGAGACUCUAGCCUGCUAAAUAGGCGUACCUUAUGGUAUCGCGAAGGCCCCCCUGCUUCGGCCGGUGGGUUUUUACUACCAACGUACAAACAAAUCUUCUUAGAGGGACAGGCGG